rnacentral:misc_RNA from 1 species
AUAUAUAUCAACCUUCUCACUUGUUGAGAGGUUUGGAUGUGGGGGUUUGCUGGCCCUUUUUUAAAAAAAGGUUCAGCUCCUCUGAAAUGCAUUAGCAGAACAAACCUUGUUCAUUGGCGUGAUAACUAUCUACGCUGUUGAAUGUGAGGGGCAGUUCAGCUUUCUAACGGUCCUCGGACAAAUUCAUCAUUA